CUGGUUGAUCUUGCCAGUAGUCAUAUGCUUGUCUCACAGAUUAAGCCAUGCAAGUGAAAGUACAUAUGUAAGUAAUAUAUUGAAACUGCGAACGGCUCAUUAAAACAGUUAUAAUCUACUUGAUGUUUUUAAUAUAAGGAUAACUACGGAAAAUCUGUAGCUAAUACUUGUGAAAAUACCUUUUGAUAUAUACAUAUGUAUGUAUCAUUAAGGUAUGUAUUUGUUAGAUAUAAGAAUAAAAUAAAUAUAAUUGAAUUAUAACAAAGAAGAAACACAUAAAAUAUGUGUAUUAUCAAUCGAGUAUCUGACCUAUCAGCUUUUGAUGUUAGGGUAUUGACCUAACAUGGCUAUGACGGGUAACGGGGAAUUAGAGUUCGAUUCCGGAGAGGGAGCCUGAGAAAUAGCUACCACAUCUAAGGAAGGCAGCAGGCGCGUAAAUUACCCAAUUCUAAAGAAGAGAGGUAGUGACAAGAAAUAACAAUACAAUAUCGAAAAAUGAUUUUGUAAUUGGAAUGAUAGGAAUUUACAAGGUUCCUAGNNNNNNNNNNNNNNNNNNNNNNN
rfam:Plasmodium falciparum Palo Alto/Tganda unplaced genomic scaffold supercont1.104, whole genome shotgun sequence.